rnacentral:lncRNA from 1 species
GGAUCCAGGGCAGGGCCUUCUACAUACUAGGCAAGUGCUCUACCACUGAGCCACAUUCCCAGGCCAGAAAUCAAUUGCCAAAUACUUCCAACAUGCCAGAGCAAGGAAAGAAACGGAGUCCACUAGGCUGCACUCUCCAAGUCAGAUCAAGGAGCAGCCAUGCCCUUCCAACUCAGGACUGAGGCAGAGACAGAGAGACAGAGACAGAGAUAUUUGAACUCUGAUGAUAUGGGUAUUCUCCCCCUCAUGUCAACCAUCAGACAAAUGCUUUUAGUAAGCAGGGUCCUGCAGACGGUGUCCAUCUGUCUGAGAGAGCAUUUGACUCACUCGGGGAGGAAGUGCUGCUGCGGAAGCGCCAUUUGGAGGACAGUUGAGGAACUCAAGUCAAAAUUGACCAAUAAAGGCCAGAGCUUGAACAGAGAGCCGCUCAAAAGAAUGCAGACGAAUUUGAGAUGUUAGUUGAAAGAAAGCAGACCUGCCUGUAAGAGCAUACUGUGUGCGGCUGACAGCCUGUUGGGAGGUUCAAGUGCACG